rnacentral:rRNA from 1 species
UGGCUCAGAACGAACGCUGGCGGCAGGCUUAACACAUGCAAGUCGAGCGCCCCGCAAGGGGAGCGGCGGACGGGUGAGUAACGCGUGGGAACGUACCCUUUGCUACGGAAUAGCCUCGGGAAACUGGGAGUAAUACCGUAUGUGCCCUUCGGGGGAAAGAUUUAUCGGCAAAGGAUCGGCCCGCGUUGGAUUAGGUAGUUGGUGGGGUAAUGGCCUACCAAGCCGACGAUCCAUAGCUGGUUUGAGAGGAUGAUCAGCCACACUGGGACUGAGACACGGCCCAGACUCCUACGGGAGGCAGCAGUGGGGAAUCUUAGACAAUGGGCGCAAGCCUGAUCUAGCCAUGCCGCGUGAGCGAUGAAGGCCUUAGGGUUGUAAAGCUCUUUCAGUGGGGAAGAUAAUGACUGUACCCACAGAAGAAGCCCCGGCUAACUCCGUGCCAGCAGCCGCGGUAAUACGGAGGGGGCUAGCGUUGUUCGGAAUUACUGGGCGUAAAGCGCACGUAGGCGGACUGGAAAGUCAGAGGUGAAAUCCCAGGGCUCAACCUUGGAACUGCCUUUGAAACUCCCGGUCUUGAGGUCGAGAGAGGUGAGUGGAAUUCCGAGUGUAGAGGUGAAAUUCGUAGAUAUUCGGAGGAACACCAGUGGCGAAGGCGGCUCACUGGCUCGAUACUGACGCUGAGGUGCGAAAGCGUGGGGAGCAAAC